GCAGCGGUGGUCUAGCGGUUAGAACGCUGGCCUUGUAAUCCUGGGGUCUCGGGUUCGAUUCCCGGCGAUGCC
rnacentral:tRNA from 1 species